CAUGAAAGAUUGCGUAAGUAUCACCUGAAUGCUGUAACUCUUGUGCUGCUCUCAUAAAUAACCAUUUCAUGAAUUACGCACAGCAGCUAGUGAAAACUGGCGUUAGCAAAAAGUAAGCGGACGAAAUUCGUUGGCACAUGCUAAUGGGAGAGGUUAGGUUGUCGAGCUCAGCAUCAUAUUCACAAAUAAAAGUCGUUGGAGUGCUGUAUGGAUAAUAUAUCAGACAUUUCAUUGGUUAAGAUCGUUCUUGCACGGUACUGAGAGAGGCAGAGCGUGCAAUUGUCAGCAGACUGUGCGAUAACCAUGGGAACCACUCGUGCUAAGAAAGGCAAGCAUUCGUACCAGUAAGAUGUUUCACGUCUCAACGUUCCUUCCACCGUGCCGUCUUGUCUUCAACGCUGUGGGACGUCAGUUUAUGGUUUACCGGGUAGUGCCUUAACAUGUCUUUUGUUUUCAGAACAUAUGCUCCUCCAUGCGACACGACAUGUUUUACAAGGCCUCCUGGCCUGGUCUUCCGCGUAACGGCGGUGUUGCGGAUGGGAAGCGGCGCCCUCGGGUUAGGACAGCAGACGCUCACCUCCCGCUCGACUAGGGAAUGUCGAGAUCUCCGGCGGAGGCCGUCUAGUGUACUCUGUAACACUGCCUCGCGCAUCAUGCACGCUUGGGUAACAGUGCGCGCUUGAUCGACGAUUCGGAACACAUGUUUCUAGACGCGUAUUCAAGGGCAUAGUGUUCGGUUAUCUGUUGCCCUUUGGCUGUGGAGCAAGGACCGCGAGGGCUUCUUUGUUGGAAGUCGGUUUGGAGAGUCGCCACAGACCGACCCAUCCCUCGCCACAACAGUGGCCGCCUGAUGCAGCUCGACCCCGUGAGUAAGCAUCUCAUCAUCUGCUCGAGUAAACACUCAGCACACUUCUGGUAUAAUAAACGCGGCGGGUCAGUU